rnacentral:rRNA from 1 species
AACUUUCAACAACGGAUCUCUUGGUUCUCGCAUCGAUGAAGAACGCAGCGAAAUGCGAUAAGUAUUGUGAAUUGCAGAUUUUCGUGAAUCAUCGAAUCUUUGAACGCACAUUGCGCCCUGUGGUAUUCCGCAGGGCAUGCCUGUUUGAGCGUCAUUUCU